rnacentral:rRNA from 1 species
UACGUAGGGUGCAAGCGUUAAUCGGAAUUACUGGGCGUAAAGCGUGCGCAGGCGGUGAUGUAAGACAGAUGUGAAAUCCCCGGGCUCAACCUGGGAACUGCAUUUGUGACUGCAUCGCUGGAGUCUGGCAGAGGGGGGUAGAAUUCCACGUGUAGCAGUGAAAUGCGUAGAGAUGUGGAGGAACACCGAUGGCGAAGGCAGCCCCCUGGGUCAAGACUGACGCUCAUGCACGAAAGCGUGGGGAGCAAACAGG